rnacentral:rRNA from 1 species
AAGCUCGUAGUUGAUUUCGGGGUUCUACCGUUGGUCGGGCUAACCAGUCUGUACUAGCGUGUAGAAUUCCUACCUUCUGGGGAACCAUCAUGUUAUUAAUUUAGCGUGGUGGGAAACCAGGACCUUUACCUUGAAAAAAUUAGAGUGUUCAAAGCAGGCUUACGUCUGAAUACAUUAGCAUGGAAUAAUAAAAUAGGACGGUGGUCCUGUUUUGUUGGUUUCUGAAUCACCGUAAUGAUUAAUAGGGAUAGUUGGG